rnacentral:rRNA from 1 species
UACGAGGGGGGCGAGCGUUGUUCGGAAUUAUUGGGCGUAAAGGGUGCGUAGGCGGCCUGACAAGUCUGAUGUGAAAUCCCUGGGACUCAACCCAGGGCCUGCAUCGGAAACUGUCGGGCUUGAGUAUGGGAGAGGUGAGUGGAAUUUCCGGUGUAGCGGUGAAAUGCGUAGAUAUCGGAAGGAACACCUGUGGCGAAAGCGGCUCACUGGACCAUUACUGACGCUGAGG